GACGAACGCUGGCGGCGUGCUUAACACAUGCAAGUCGAACGGAAAGGCCUGCUUUCCCUUGUGGAUUGCGGGUACUCGAGUGGCGAACGGGUGAGUAACACGUGAGUGAUCUGCCCCCAACUUGGGUAUAAGCCCGGGAAACUGGGUCUAAUUCCCGAUAGGACUGCAGGGUGGUUCCUGUGGUGGAAAACGAUUUUCUAGUGGUCGGGGAUGAGCUCGCGGCCUAUCAGCUUGUUGGUGGGGUAAUGGCCUACCAAGGCGGCGACGGGUAGCCGGCCUGAGAGGGGGGACGGCCACAUUGGGACUGGGAUACGGCCCAGACUCCUACGAGAGGCAGCAGUGGGGAAUAUUGCACAAUGAGCGGGAGCCUGAUGCAGCGACGCAGCGUGGGGGAUGACGGGCUUCGGGUUGUAAACUCCUUUCGACCGCGAGGAAGCCACCUGGUUGGAAGGGUGGUGACGGUAGUGGUAGAAGAAGCACCGGCUAACUACGUG
rnacentral:rRNA from 1 species